rnacentral:rRNA from 1 species
UACGUAGGGGGCAAGCGUUGUCCGGAUUUAUUGGGCGUAAAGAGCGUGUAGGCGGUUUUACAGGUCCGCUGUGAAAACUCGAGCUCAACCUCGAGACGCCGGUGGAAACCAUCUAGCUAGAGUCCGGAAGAGGAGAGUGGAAUUCCUGGUGUAGCGGUGAAAUGCGCAGAUAUCAGGAAGAACACCCGUGGCGAAGGCGGCUCUCUGGGACGUGACUGACGCUGAGACGCGAAAGCGUGGGGAGCGAACAGG